rnacentral:lncRNA from 15 species
UCCCUAACCAUGACUCAGUGUUCCAUAUGCGCAGACAGAGCCACACGUAAACAUUAUGGUGCAUCCAGCUGUGAUGGAUGCAAGGGCUUCUUCAGGAGGAGCAUUCGCAACAACCACACUUACAACUGCAGGUUCAACAGGCAGUGUAUUGUGGACAAAGACAAAAGGAACCAGUGUCGUUACUGCAGACUGCAGAAGUGCUUCAAGGCUGGAAUGAGAAAAGAAGCUGUGCAGAAUGAGAGAGACUGCAUCAACAGCCACAGAGCCAAGGGACAGACAGUGGGUACUCUGUCUAUCAGUGUGCUGCUGCGGGCAGAGGCCAGUUUCCCAGCUCUGGUCUCACCUAGGAGUCAUGACAUCAACACCAAGCAGACAGCCUGCGUGGGAGUUGUGUUCGAGUCCAUGAAGCAGCAACUCCUCCUACUGGUGGAAUGGGCAAAACACAUCCCAGAGUUUUGUGGUCUCCCAAUAGAUGACAGGGUAACCCUGUUACAGACCCACUCCGCAGAACAUCUUAUCCUAGGGGCAGCAAGACGCUCUUUACCUUAUUUCAAUCUGAUUCUUCUAGGUAACGACUUUGUGAUCCCCCUGAGAAGUGCAGAAGUAGCGGUGUCCAGGGUGGCUUUCAGAAUCCAAGAGGAGCUGGUCAAACCUCUCAGAGAGUUGGACAUCACAGACAAAGAGUUUGCUUGCCUCAGAAGCAUUGUCUUCUUUGCCCCAGAGUGUCCUGGUUUGAAGAGUCCUCAGGUGGUUCGACAUCUGCGUUUCCAGGCCCAUCUGCUGCUAGAAGAAGCAACCUGUGAGAAGCGGGGAAGGUUUGGGGAGCUCCUGCUGAUCCUGCCUCCCCUGCAGAGUGUGGCCUUGCAGAUGGUGGAGACACUACACCUAGCACAGCUACUAGGCGAGGCCAGUAUGGACAACCUGCUGCAGGAGAUGCUGCUGGGGGAGGGAGCCAAAGCAGGACAGGGUAGGAGACACUGCUACAGGAUUUCCUUGCAAGAAAUUGACUUAAUCUAUACAAUGUUAUUAUGCUAUCUUCCUUCAGGUGAUGUCCUGACUCAAAACCAGCAAAAUGAGCAAAGAGUUUCUCCCACAAACUUCGUCUCUGUCAUCUCUCACGUUUCAACAUGUGAGCACUCGCAAUCUAUCACAACAGUCCACAUUGUAGUCUUAUCAAGUCCAACAGUCAGAAACCAUCAAAAAAACAAAUAUAUUCAUCAUGGUUUUUACAUUUUGACAUUUGUAUCCUUGAAACUGAAAUGUAUUGAUGGACACUGA